AUUGAACGCUGGCGGCAUGCUUUACACAUGCAAGUCGAACGGUAACAGGCCGCAAGGUGCUGACGAGUGGCGAACGGGUGAGUAAUGCAUCGGAACGUGCCCAGUCGUGGGGGAUAACUACUCGAAAGAGUAGCUAAUACCGCAUACGAUCUAUGGAUGAAAGCGGGGGACCGUAAGGCCUCGCGCGAUUGGAGCGGCCGAUGUCAGAUUAGGUAGUUGGUGGGGUAAAGGCUCACCAAGCCAACGAUCUGUAGCUGGUCUGAGAGGACGACCAGCCACACUGGGACUGAGACACGGCCCAGACUCCUACGGGAGGCAGCAGUGGGGAAUUUUGGACAAUGGGCGCAAGCCUGAUCCAGCAAUGCCGCGUGCAGGAAGAAGGCCUUCGGGUUGUAAACUGCUUUUGUACGGAACGAAACGGCUCUGGUUAAUACCCUGGGCUAAUGACGGUACCGUAAGAAUAAGCACCGGCUAACUACGUG
rnacentral:rRNA from 1 species